UCUCUCAUACACUAUUUUUUCCAAAGUAUACUGAUUUCAGUCUGUUUGCAACCGGAGUAGGUAUAAUAUCUGAGCGUCAUUCAGUGAAAAAGAUUUCAAACGAUUUGAGUUUCUUUGAAAUCAAAUACAUAAAUUUUGGAGUAGUUUGAUUCUGUUGUUAAAUACAUACUAUGAAGCCGUAUUCAAACGAUAACAAAAUAAAAUUUUGGAUAAUUCAGUUGAUAGUAUGGAUUUUAGUCAUCGGGGGUUUAAUGAUACUUUACAACAAAACCGUUCCUACCUCAGAUAAAACACAAUUGUCGGAUGAAGAAAUGCAAUCGAGGGAUAAAGAAAUACAAUUGUCCGAUAAACAAAAGCAAUCGAGGGAUAAUGUAAUACAAUUGUCAAAGAAAUCGAGGAAUAAUAUAAUACAAUUGUCGGAAUCGGGGGAUAAUGUAGUAGAAUUAUCAAAGCAAUCGAGGAAUAAUGUAAUACAAAUGUCGAAAUCGGGGGAUAAUGUAGUACAAUUGUCAAAGGAAUCGAGGAAUAAUGUAAUACAAGUGUCGGAAUGGGGGAAUAAUGUAGUACAAUUGUCAAAGCAAUCGAGGGAUAAUGCAGUACAAUGGUCGGAAAUGUCGGAUAAACAAAAGAAAUCGUUCGAUAAAGCAAUGCAAAAGUUGAAUAAACGAAUGAAAUCGUUGGGCAAAGGAAUUAAUAAAAAACGUCAUUGGAUAAAGAAAAGCAUUCGUUGUCGAUGAGAAAAGGUCAAAGUAUAAAAAAAAUAUUCCAUAUCCAAAGAAGUU